GACGAACGCUGGCGGCGUGCUUAACACAUGCAAGUCGAGCGGAAAGGCCCUGCUUUUGUGGGGUGCUCGCGUGGCGCACGGGUGAGUAACACGUGAGUAUCCCGCCCUUGACUUUGGGAUAACUUCAGGCAACUGGGGCUAAUACCGGCUAGGAGCUCCUGAUGCAUGGUGGGGGUUGGACAGUUUCGGCGGUUGGGGAUGGACUCGCGGCUUAUCAGCUUGUUGGUUGAGUAGUGGCUUACCCAGGCUUUGACGGAUAGCCGGCCUGGGAGGGUGAACGGCGACAUUGGUACUGAGAGACGGCCCAGACGCCAAUGGGAGGCAGCAGGGGGGAGUAUGACACAGUGGGCGGAAGCCUGAGACGAAGACGUCGCGAGCGUAAUGACGGCCUACUGGUUGUAAACCGCUGUCGCCUAUGACGAAGCGGGAGUGACGGUAAUGGGUAAAGAAGCACCGGCUAACUACGUG
rnacentral:rRNA from 1 species